UACGUAGGGCGCAAGCGUUGUCCGGAAUUAUUGGGCGUAAAGAGCUCGUAGGCGGUUUGUCGCGUCUGUCGUGAAAGCUUGGGGCUUAACCCCAAGUCUGCGGUGGAUACGGGCAGACUAGAGGCAGGUAGGGGAGAACGGAAUUCCUGGUGUAGCGGUGAAAUGCGCAGAUAUCAGGAAGAACACCCGUGGCGAAGGCGGCUCUCUGGGACGGUACUGACGCUGAGACGCGAAAGCGUGGGGAGCGAACAGG
rnacentral:rRNA from 1 species